AUGCUCUCUUUGGCAGCACAUAUACUAAAACUGAAACUCUACAGAGAAGGUUAGCAUGACCCCUGUCAAAGAUGAUACACAAAUUCACAAAACAUUCCAUAUUUCU
rnacentral:snRNA from 1 species